UUAAACGGCAAACUCUCUGCAUGACUGGAGAGGGUAAAGGGCCAGAGCACAGGAGCAGUUUUACAAGCACCACAUCUGCCACACACAGGUAGCAAAUACCACUGGAAGGUCCAAGAUCCAGGGGCCCACAUCUGCUAAGGGCUUUCAUGCCGUGUCAUCCCAUGAGGAAAGACAGAGGGAUCCUGUUCUCUGCAAAUGCAAACAGUUCUUUUAUUACAAGGCUUUUUCAAGGGGAAGAGAAAACUCAUUUGGCAGAUAAGGUUAACCUUUUAAAAAAUCAAGUGUGUUAA
rnacentral:lncRNA from 1 species